UGGGGAAUAUUGCACAAUGGGGGAAACCCUGAUGCAGCGACGCCGCGUGAGCGAAGAAGGCCUUCGGGUCGUAAAGCUCUUUUAUGAGGGAAGAUAAUGACGGUACCUCAAGAAAAAGCCCCGGCUAACUACGUGCCAGCAGCCGCGGUAAUACGUAGGGGGCUAGCGUUGUCCGGAAUCACUGGGCGUAAAGGGUUCGCAGGCGGAAUAACAAGUCAGAUGUGAAAGGCAUGGGCUCAACCCACGUAAGCAUUUGAAACUGUAAUUCUUGAGAAGUGGAGAGGUAAGUGGAAUUCCUAGUGUAGCGGUGAAAUGCGUAGAUAUUAGGAGGAAUACCUGUGGCGAAGGCGACUUACUGGACACAAAUCUGACGCUGAGGAACGAAAGCGUGGGUAGCAAACAGG
rnacentral:rRNA from 1 species